rnacentral:sRNA from 1 species
AUUAGAGACUUAGAGACCCAAGCCCUCUAUCCACAGAAGAGCAGCAACAUAGGCUGCAGUAAUGCUAGUUUCCUACAUUGCUCCCUGACCUGAAGAUACCACUUCUAGGGUUGAUAAGAGCAUUGGAGUAUCCAUGCUCAUUCAGUCUUUGACCUCU